UACGGAGGGUGCAAGCGUUAUCCGGAUUCACUGGGUUUAAAGGGAGCGUAGGUGGGCUGGUAAGUCAGUGGUGAAAUCUCCGGGCUUAACUCGGAAACUGCCGUUGAUACUAUCAGUCUUGAAUGUUGUGGAGGUAAGCGGAAUAUGUCAUGUAGCGGUGAAAUGCUUAGAUAUGACAUAGAACACCGAUAGCGAAGGCAGCUUGCUACACAAUAAUUACACUGAGGC
rnacentral:rRNA from 1 species